GGUCCUAACACAUGCAAGUCGAACGGUAGCACAGAGAGCUUGCUCUUGGGUGACGAGUGGCGGACGGGUGAGUAAUGUCUGGGAAACUGCCCGAUGGAGGGGGAUAACUACUGGAAACGGUAGCUAAUACCGCAUAACGUCGCAAGACCAAAGUGGGGGACCUUCGGGCCUCACACCAUCGGAUGUGCCCAGAUGGGAUUAGCUAGUAGGUGGGGUAACGGCUCACCUAGGCGACGAUCCCUAGCUGGUCUGAGAGGAUGACCAGCCACACUGGAACUGAGACACGGUCCAGACUCCUACGGGAGGCAGCAGUGGGGAAUAUUGCACAAUGGGCGCAAGCCUGAUGCAGCCAUGCCGCGUGUAUGAAGAAGGCCUUCGGGUUGUAAAGUACUUUCAGCGAGGAGGAAGGCGUUGUAGUUAAUAGCUGCAACGAUUGACGUUACUCGCAGAAGAAGCACCGGCUAACUCCGUG
rnacentral:rRNA from 1 species